UUUGUGCAGAAAACAAAGUCUAUUCUUUAGUCAGGUCUAUUUUACUGACUGCUGAUGCAUUAUGGAAGGAGAUUCAGCUGGACCACCUCAUAGACAAAUGAUUUCAGAUUCUCUGCAAAUGUGGAUUCUAUUUCCAGCUUUAUUAGUGUUCCUAGUGAUCAUUGGAUUUCUUAUAUAUAAACUACUGCAACGACAAAGGGCAAGGAACAACAAGGAAAAGAAA